rnacentral:sRNA from 1 species
UUCUAGCCCCGAUAGCAGUGGAAAUCCUUUUAUUUUUUUCUUUAAAAAAUAAAAGAUUGGAACGGAUAGCGGGAUUAGCU